CGAGAGGGUUACAUGACCUGCUAACUC
rnacentral:tRNA from 1 species